GUCUGUGCGAAGGUAUGUAGAGUCUGGCCUGCCCACUGACUUAAAACUGUUUGAAGGGCCGCGGUAUCUUGACCGUGCGAAGGUAGCAUAAUCAUUAGUCUUUUAAUUGAAGGCUCGUAUGAAUGGUCGGACAAAAAGUAAGCUGUCUUCAAUUAUAAAAACUGAAUUUGACUUUUAAGUGAAAAGGCUUAAAUAAAACAAAGUGACGAUAAGACCCUAUAAAGCUUUACAGCGUAAUUUUUUAUUAUAAAUUAUCAAAAUGUAUAACUUAAUUCAAAAUAAAGCUUUUUCGUUGGGGCGACGGAAAUAUAAUUUAAAUAACUGUUUUUACCCUAGAGAACAAAUAUAAUUGACCUAAAAUAAAUGAUCCUCAACUAGAGAUUAAAAGAUUAAGUUACUUUAGGGAUAACAGCGUAAUCUUCUUUGAGAGUUCAUAUCGACAAGAAGGGUUGCGACCUCGAUGUUGAAUUAAGGUUCCUUGGUGGUGCAGCAGCUACGAUUGGAGGUCUGUUCGACCUUUAAAUCCUU
rnacentral:rRNA from 1 species